rnacentral:rRNA from 1 species
UACAGAGGGUGCGAGCGUUAAUCGGAAUUACUGGGCGUAAAGCGUGCGUAGACGGUUAUUUAAGUCGGGUGUGAAAGCCCCGGGCUCAACCUGGGAAUUGCAUUCGAGACUGAAUAGCUAGGGUACGGUAGAGGGAAGUGGAAUUUCCGGUGUAGCGGUGAAAUGCGUAGGUAUCGGAAGGAACAUCAGUGGCGAAAGCGACUUCCUGGACUAGUACCGACGUUCAGGCACGAAAGCGUGGGGAGCAAACAGG